CUUGCCACUGGAUCUAUAUUAACACCACAUUUUGUUUCUGUAUUUUCCAGGUGCUUCAUCUUUAAAAUCUAUUCUAGCAGGAGGGUUGCCAGCUAUCAUAACUCUUGGGGAACUAGUAGCACUUAAGGGUAACACAAGAUGCGUAUGAUUUUGCCAUAGAUUUUGAUGGAGGUGGGUGUCUAAGCAGGCUGAGUCUCAGUUACUGCUCCUCAGCUACAGUCACAGCCUCGUUGGUGGGGACUGAUCCCACCUCCUUCCCAGGAGAAGCAAAUGGAUUUGUCAGUGAUAGACAGACUUCCUACCUAAACUGAAGCAAACAUUAUCAAACCUCCAUUUAAGAAAAUGGAGUUGUGAGGCAUAUUCUGCAGUCCUAAUUCACAUAAUACUGCUACAUCAUCAUGAUUUCCCUGAUAAUAGACCAGAAGUCAUAAUUCCUUAUUUUAUUGGAGUGCUACAAAUCUGAAUGCUUUAACAAUAUGAUUAUGAGGAAAAACUUCCAGAUGACAGUUUUCAAUCUCAACAGUCGCUAGUUGUAGGAAUGGCAGAAGAGUUGGAGCAGUGAAGCUUUAAGCUAUUGUUCUUUUCCUUGGAAUAGCCUUGAAAGAAUGCACUCACAGACUUACCAAGGGUGAACAGUUUUUUAACAGAUGAUUAAAAUUUAAUUUCUUUUUCAUUGACAUCAAUCACCAAGACAAAUAUCUUGAUUCUCAACUGCUUGUAGUCAUUUGCAUAUAUGGAGGGUAAGUAGAAAAUACUUCUAAACAGUGUAAAUGGCUGCAAAAAAUCUGUGUUCUCUAUUAUUGACAUAUAUUUUUGCUGAGUUUGCCUAACUACAAAUCUGCAUGAAAAAGUAGUGCAAUGUACAAGAGGUGGACAGUCAAACUCCAUACCAGUGUUUUGACCACAUCAGGGAGCUGAGAGGAGCCUGUUCUGUUUAAGAAUCAUGGAUUGUCCUACACACACACACAUGUAGCUUCAAACUGCAUUUUCUCAGGCAGCAUUACAUCAUCUAAAAAGAAAAAUGAAAGCAGCCUUUGCUGGUAAACUGUUAAUAGCCAUGACAAUCAGAUUGGAUUAAAUAAUUAAACUGAAAUAAUGGUAUUUAAAGAGGAAGACACCAUCAAUUUGGCAACUGAUAAAUGGAAUCCAUUUGCUAGUGUUGGUGAAAGAUUUUUUUCUUGAAAAGCUAACCUUGAGCUGAAAGCCAACUAAGCUAUAGACUUAUGAGGACAGAUUUUGGCUCCGAUUGUAGCAGCUAAAUUCAGAACAAUUUACAGUCCAGCAGUCAUUAUUAGGUUUGCAAUACAAAGCAUGAGAAUUCAAAAGUUUCUGUUUUGGUAGUCUUUUACAUCUUCAGGAGCCCAAAAGAUGUAAAUCACACAUGCUGUGUAUUUCUUUGAUAAGCCAAGAUGCCCUGGCUUCAAAAAGUGGCAGAUAAGUGAUGCAGCUUCUGCCAGUGUACUGGGUCUGCACUGAAAUCAGUGGGCUUUCCUAUGACUGAACCUGGACUGGAUUUCUCAUGUUUCAAAUUCCUGCUCUCCUCUGUGCCAUGUUGUCUUUUCUUUCAGCCUGUCAGCACAGUCUGUCUGUGUGUGUGUGGGUAGCUGCCACCAUGUGAUCUGCGCUUCCCUUCUCCUUUAUGUUUGUAGCCUUAGGGACCACUGAAAAUGAUACCUGAUAUCUUGCAGACCUCUGGGCGCACAGGCAUAUGUACAAUUUUUAUAUAUAUGUGUGUGUGUGUGUGUGUGUGUGUGUGUGCAUGACCAUAAAAUAUCACACAUAUUGAUGUCAACACCCAGUUAGACAAAAUAAAUUGU